UACGUAGGGUGCAAGCGUUGUCCGGAAUUAUUGGGCGUAAAGAGCUCGUAGGCGGUUCGUCGCGUCGGCUGUGAAAACCUGAGGCUCAACCUCAGGCCUGCAGUCGAUACGGGCGGACUUGAGUACUGCAGGGGAGACUGGAAUUCCUGGUGUAGCGGUGAAAUGCGCAGAUAUCAGGAGGAACACCGGUGGCGAAGGCGGCAUCCUGGACCGGCAUUGACGCUGAGUGAGCGAAAGCCAGGGGAGCAAACGGG
rnacentral:rRNA from 1 species